UCGUCAGAUCGGCACAGAUCUCGACGGAUCUCGCCCGAUAUCCACAGAUCUUGAGAACAAAUUGAAGGAGAAGGACGAAUUGUUCCAACCCCGCCGCAACCUUAGAGAUUCGAGCAUACAAUGUCGCAGAUAUAAUCAGCCACCCUCCGCAACAAGGAUCAAGACGACCAGUUAAUCUGCAAGCAAAUCAAAGAAACACAAAACAAUUCCAGAACAACAAGAAGCUUUAAAUUAGUUGAGGGAAAACGAG
rnacentral:misc_RNA from 1 species